AGAAAAGUCUAGGUUGAGUACUUUUAAUGAUACAAAAUAAAGUUUAAUGACUUCACCAGAUAAUUCCUCAAACUUGAGUGAUCAUUUGGGAUACUAACUCAAGGAUUUCCAUACAACGAUGUUCUUCUUUGGCCACUCGCGCUAAACAAUAUCAGAAUAAUCAGUAACUUAGUCCAUUUACUGCAUUCACAGUUUCAAAACGUGUUUACUGCAUUUACAGAUGAGCAGAUUUAGGCACACAAAAAACCUUCUCCAUAGCACAACCGUAGAACUUCCCCUUCGAUCCUUUCUCUACUACUUGUCCCUUGCUUUUCUAUAUACGUAAACAGGAACUCCUUUGUGGGAUGCUGGGAUUCCUAGCAGAUUCUUUAUCCUCUGUCAAUUUCUGGAAUUAAUUUGAUUUGAAUGAGCAAUUUGGGAUUCCUGGAGUAGAUUGUAAGUACAACAAGCAUUAGAGGGAUUUCUUUUGGAGUAGAGGAAGCAAAACUCGGAGGUCCAGUGCAUUCCUGAAACAUGUAUCCUGUGGAGAGGGAAGUAGGUCAUUUUAAGCCCUUUGUACGAAAUAAAUCACAAACAGAAGGUUGUAUAGCUAAUGGUCACAUAGCUGAAGACACUCUUACCUUUUGUUCUUACUAUAUGGAGGAUAUUGAAACAAGGUUCAAUAGACCUAGGCGUGUUCGUGAUGAUCCAAACUACAUUCAACCUUCUGGAAUGUCGACUAUCUUCCCUCAGUUAGGUAAACCUGCAUCAGCUGCAGAAAAUUACCAUUGAACUCCUAUUUAGAAACGACAAGCUCAUCGAUCUGUGCUUUUGAAUUGUUCAAUAGUCACACCAUUUGUGGAAGAAUUUAUACUACACAUAAGGAGGAGGAGUUCACGAGGAAGAAGACAUUCACCUACAGAGAUAGAGAGGAAAGUUAAUAAGGAAUUUGUGGAUUGGUUCCAAAAACGGGCGAGUAAACAAACAUUUUCUACUAUUUCUAUUUGGUUUGAAUGAGAAAAUUUGACGAAGUCAUUUUUUUAAAUUUAGAUUAUGAAUCCAGACUCAAUAGACACGAUAUCUACUGAUCUAAAGUUUUUAGCACGAGGUCCAUGUGUAAAUGAAAGAAGAUAUACUGCAUAUAAUAUCAAU